rnacentral:piRNA from 1 species
UGUUCCUCUGCGCUCAUAAAACACCC